GUGCUCACUUAGGCAGCACAUAUAUUAAAAUUGGAACGAUACAGAGAAGAUUAGCAUGGCCCCUGUGCAACGAUGACAUGCAAAUUCGUGAAGCAUUCCAUAUUUUA
ensembl:snRNA U6 U6 spliceosomal RNA